UGCCUAAUACAUGCAAGUCGAGCGGUAACAGGUGUAGCAAUACAUGCUGACGAGCGGCGGACGGGUGAGUAACGCUUGGGAAUCUGCCUGUUAGUGGGGGACAACCCGGGGAAACUCGGGCUAAUACCGCAUACGCACUACGGUGGAAAGCCGGGGACCGCAAGGCCCGGCGCUAACAGAUGAGCCCAAGUCGGAUUAGCUAGUUGGUAGGGUAACGGCCUACCAAGGCGACGAUCCGUAACUGGUCUGAGAGGACGACCAGUCACACCGGAACUGAGACACGGUCCGGACUCCUACGGGAGGCAGCAGUGGGGAAUAUUGGACAAUGGGCGAAAGCCUGAUCCAGCGACGCCGCGUGGGUGAAGAAGGCCUUCGGGUUGUAAAGCUCUUUCGGUGGGAACGAAACGGUUACGACUAAUACUUGUGACUAAUGACGGUACUCACAGAAGAAGCACCGGCUAACUACGUGCCAGCAGCCGCGGUAAUACGUAGGGUGCGAGCGUUAAUCGGAAUUACUGGGCGUAAAGCGUGCGCAGGCGGUUACUUAAGUCAGGUGUGAAAGCCCUGGGCUUAACCUAGGAAUUGCGCUUGAGACUGGGUAGCUUUGAGUGUGGCAGAGGGAGGUGGAAUUCCACGUGUAGCAGUGAAAUGCGUAGAGAUGUGGAGGAACACCGAUGGCGAAGGCAGCCUCCUGGGCCAGCACUGACGCUCAUGCACGAAAGCGUGGGGAGCAAACAGGAUUAGAUACCCUGGUAGUCCACGCCCUAAACGAUGUCAACUGGUUGUUGGUGGGGUUAAACCCAUUAGUAACGAAGCUAACGCGUGAAGUUGACCGCCUGGGGAGUACGGCCGCAAGGUUAAAACUCAAAGGAAUUGACGGGGACCCGCACAAGCGGUGGAUGAUGUGGAUCAAUUCGAUGCAACGCGAAGAACCUUACCUACCCUUGACAUGCCAGGGAGCCCGAUGAGAGUUGGGUGUGCCCGAAAGGGAACCUGGACACAGGUGCUGCAUGGCUGUCGUCAGCUCGUGUCGUGGGAUGUUGGGUUAAGUCCCGCAACGAGCGCAACCCUCGCCCUUAGUUGCCAUCAUUCAGUUGGGCACUCUAGGGGGACUGCCGGUGAUAAGCCGAGAGGAAGGUGGGGAUGACGUCAAGUCCUCAUGGCCCUUACGGGCUGGGCUACACACGUGCUACAAUGGCGGUGACAAUGGGAUGCUGAGGGGCGACCCCGAGCAAAUCUCAAAAAGCCGUCUCAGUUCGGAUUGCACUCUGCAACUCGAGUGCAUGAAGGUGGAAUCGCUAGUAAUCGUAGAUCAGAACGCUACGGUGAAUACGUUCCCGGGCCUUGCACACACCGCCCGUCAC
rnacentral:rRNA from 1 species